rnacentral:rRNA from 1 species
AGAACGAACGUUGGCGGCAUGGAUUAGGCAUGCAAGUUGUGCGUACCCAGCAAUGGGAAGCAGCGUAAGGGGCAGUAAGGCAUGGGUACCUACCUUGAGGCCGAGCAUAGCCCGUAGAGAUACGGGGUAAUUCUCGAUAAUGUCGUGAGACCAAAGGUCCGCCGCCUUGAGAGGGGCCCAUGUGAUAUUAGCUAGUUGGUAAGGUAACGGCUUACCAAGGCGAAGAUGUCUAGCGGGUGUGAGAGCACGACCCGCGCCACUGGCACUGAGACACUGGCCAGACACCUACGGGUGGCUGCAGUCGAGGAUCUUCGGCAAUGGGCGCAAGCCUGACCGAGCGAUGCCGCGUGUGCGACGAAGGCCUUCGGGUUGUAAAGCACUGUCGAGAGGGAGAAAUGCCGAAAGGCUUGAUCUAUCUCUGGAGGAAGGGCGGGCUAAGUUCGUGCCAGCAGCCGCGGUAAGACGAACCGCCCGAACGUUGUUCGGAAUCACUGGGCUUAAAGGGAGCGUAGGCGGGCUUCCAAGUCCGGGGUGAAAUCCUCCAGCUUAACUGGAGAACUGCCUCGGAUACUGGAGGUCUCGAGGAGGGUAGGGGCAAGUGGAACCGUGGGUGGAGCGGUGAAAUGCGUUGAUAUCCAUGGGAACUCCGGUGGCGAAGGCGACUUGCUGGACCCUUUCUGACGCUGAGGCUCGAAAGCCAGGGGAGCAAACGGGAUUAGAUACCCCGGUAGUCCUGGCCCUAAACGUUGAGAACUAGGUUGUCGGCUUACAUGGGCUGACAGCCGAAGCAAAAGUGCUAAGUUCUCCGCCUGGGGAGUAUGGUCGCAAGCUG